GAAAAAGUUUCUAAGCAGCAGUUUGCAAAUCUGUUUGCAUUUACAACUGGUAAUUUCUUUAUAACCAGAUGCACUAGUCAGAAGUGCGAAUAAAGAAAUCAGUUUUACUCUUUUGGGAUUUGGGAAUCAUGCUGCCAUUUUAGUAUAUGUCCAUGUUUUCAUGUACAGAAAACCUGCUGAAGUUCUACUUGUCUAUUUUCUGCAAGUUCAUCGAUUGACUGAUUUUCUUUGUAGUGCAUCAAAUAAACAUCUCAUUUACAGCAUUGACAGAAUUGUAAUCUCAAGAAGGCUGCAGAGUGAGUAAGCUGACUUGAGCUAAGGUCUGCUUGUUUUUUCUUUUUGAAAUUUGUAGUGUUUCAUGCCUCCUUAAUCAUAUAUAGUCACAUCUAACAAUCUUGUGGCUCUACAUUACUUAAAAGCUGCUUAACUUUGUUUGGCAAAAGGACAGAUUAUUUCUGCUUUUACCAACUUCCAAGCCAAGUUGCCAAACAAUGGAUCAAGACCAGAUGAAAACCCUAUCUGAUGCCAUCCAACAGAUUAAAACGGAUAUGAUGACUUACUUUGAUACUAAAGUGGAUCCCAUUCUUUGCACUUUAAAUGGUAUUGAGGGCUCCUUAUCUACACUGGGAUAACAUGUUUCACAACUGGAACAGCGUGUAGGAGCAAAUGAGGACAACAUGAAUGAUCUCUCCACUCGGGUCAAACAACUUGAAAAAGAUAACUCUUACCUAAUAGAUAAAGUUAAGGAUCUGGAGAACCGGAGUAGGUCUGCAAAUCUCCGCUUUGUCAGAGUACCCGAAUCCGCAGAAGGCCGUGACAUGCUUAGGUCUAUGGCCCGUUUAAUUCCAGUUUCUUGGGCAAGACAAGUUCCCAACUCCGCCGGCUAUCGAGAGGGCUCAUCGCACUCCUACUGUCCGACGGAAUGACAGAUCCAGUCCGAGGCCUAUCCUGAUAAAGCUAUUACACUUUCAGGAUAAGGUGAAGAUGCUCUGACUUGGCCAUGGAAAAAAAGCUGAUCUACAACGGUAACCGCAUCUUCAUAUACCCCGAUUACAGCGCUGACCUGACGGAGAGACGUCGGUCCUUCGACCCGGUCAAACGAAGACUUCGGGAACUUACACUAAAGUACUCCCUUCGUUAUCCCUGCACACUGAGUGUGUUGGUUGACGGCAAUGAACAACUAUUCAGUGACCACAAAGCUGCUGAAGCUGUCUUCGUGUCCUCCAUGAACUCUCCAGCGUGCACGGGGCUGAGGGAGCAGAAAGCUGCCUGAAGCAGUAUCCAGGAAUGGCCAGCAGGUGGCACUCUUUGUGCACUUCAGUAGGUCGCUCUGCCUGAGAGAGUCUGAAAAGGGUUACCUGGAGCCAGGUCCGGAGCCAGGCCCGGGGGUGGCAAGUACCUGGAGGUCGGGUAGCCCACGCACGUCGGCUGGGUUCAGCCCAAAAAUGUCCACGUGGGAUCAUCACAUGGACCUGCCACCUGCAAGGCUCAGGGUAGGGGUAAGGUGCAAGGUAAGCCACCCCCCCCUCCCACUGCUCUUCACACUGAUGACCCAUGACUGUUUACCUCCAAUAACAUUAUCAUGUUUGCUGAUGUAUCAACAGUGGUGGGCUUUAUCACCAACAGUAAGUCAGCAAACAGAGAGCUGGCAGAGCAGCUAGCAGCCUGGUGUGCUGAGUGUUUUGAAGAGAGUUGUGCAAGGACAUCCGCUGUUUCCCACAUUUAUAUUGUCUAUCUGGGCAUUCAUAAAAAUAUUCUUUCACCACUCAAAAA